rnacentral:rRNA from 1 species
GCUUUACUGUAGCCUGGUAUUGGGUUCGGGCUUGGCUUGCGCAGGAUAGGUGGGAGGCUAUGAAGUUGCCCUUGUGGGGGNCAAUGGAGCCAACAGUGAGAUACCACUCUAGCCAGGCUAGAAUUCUAACCGCUUGCCGUUAUNNNCCGGCAGUGGAACCGUAUCAGGUGGGCAGUUUGACUGGGGCGGUCGCCUCCUAAAAGGUAACGGAGGCGCACAAAGGUUUCCUCAGGCUGGUUGGAAAUCAGCCGCAGAGUGUAAAGGCAANAAGGAAGCUUGACUGCAAGAGCGACAACUCANAGCAGGGUGGAAACACNGGUCUUAGUGAUCCGACGGCACUNGCGUGGAAGGGCCGUCGCUCAACGGAUAAAAGUUA